UGCGCAGGCGGUUUUGUAAGUCUGAUGUGAAAUCCCCGGGCUCAACCUGGGAAUUGCAUUGGAGACUGCAAGGCUAGAAUCUGGCAGAGGGGGGUAGAAUUCCACGUGUAGCAGUGAAAUGCGUAGAUAUGUGGAGGAACACCGAUGGCGAAGGCAGCCCCCUGGGUCAAGAUUGACGCUCAUGCACGAAAGCGUGGGGAGCAAACAGGAUUAGAUACCCUGGUAGUCCACGCCCUAAACGAUGUCCACUAGUUGUCGGGUCUUAAUUGACUUGGUAACGCAGCUAACGCGUGAAGUAGACCGCCUGGGGAGUACGGUCGCAAGAUUAAA
rnacentral:rRNA from 1 species